rnacentral:misc_RNA from 1 species
CUUGAAUAUUGAUUAUGAUGAAUUUACACGAGUUAUCAUGAUAAAUGAUUAUAAUUACAUAGUUGUAUUUUAAAAUUUAUCAAAGAGAGGAAUUGUAUUCACCAAAUAAAGGCAAAAUUCGCAAUCCAAAACAAUUUACUGCCCCCUAAAGAGAAAAAAAAAAUCUAUAUUUUCACCUAAAUAUCAAUUGCCUAGAAAACUUCAAAAGGGAUUGAUGGCGUAAAUAAGCACGCACUUUUUCAUUUGCUACAAAAUACUCAGAACUCUCAUUGAUAAUCACAAUUCCGAAAACUCAACUUCUUGAGUGCAAGGACGAUGCGCUACAAAGGUGUUGUCAUAGGAUCCAGGGUUGAAACAAGUGUUUCCUAUGUAUUUGAACGCCUUCAGCUCACUUUUAUCACCUAAAACAAUAUGUGAAAUGCGUUAAAUGAGUUUGGCUUCUUCUCACUGUCAAAAUGAUGUUAGUUUGAGGAAAACAGGAUUUGAUAAUGGAAAAAGGACCAAAGAAAGAUAUCAGCAAUAGUAUAUGUGGAGAGGGAUAAAGAUGGAGACAAUGAACAUAAUUCCAGAUAACCCGCUGAACAGUAAGAGGAACUGGGCAGAGAGGGCUUUGAUGGGUUAUGGUGGCAACCAGCUGUAAAAGAAGUCAAAACCCAUUAAUAUGGUUGACCAAUAACCCCAAAGUGAUGAAAUGCAUCAGUAGAAUGUAUGAAAAACAAGGUUUAGAGGGGAGAAAAAAGAAAACAUGUUCAAAAGGAUCAGCAGUUUCCUCCGUAGAUGGUCGCGAACAUGACUGACGCAUCCUAUAUAGCAGAACGAAAAAAUACAAUUUCUUUAGUGUAGAACUUGACCCUGCAUUUAAAUAAGAAGCGUUUGCAUAGAGUUAAAGGACACAUUAAACGCUUACACAUCAUGGUUUCACUAUUUCAAGUUGUAAAAGUGUUUUCAAAAAAUCAUGUUUAAGCCUUCAUUAUUAAAUUGUCCCCAGAAUUCAAAAUAAUGUAAAUUCCAAAAGCCAAUAAAAGAAAAGUAAGACUUUGCUGGGUAUCCUUUGGAGUAUAACAAGUUUAUUUGCUUUCCAGAAGCCAAUAAAAGAAAGUAAGACUUUGCUGGAUACCCUUUGGAGCAUAACAAGUUUAUUUGUUUUAACUAAUCAGUGAUCAGACAGAUUAACCAGCAAGGAUUACUGAAAAAUAUGGCAUUUGGAAUGUGCUUCCGAAGCUCUUCAGUUAGAGAUUUUGGUAAAGUGCACCAAGGUAGUACAGUUGAUGCACCUGAAGCAGUCAAAGCAUUGAUCAUCCUCAUCUCAUAUAAAAGUAAAGCUAUUUAUGAAAAGGUGAACAGCAUCUGAAAACCAUUUAAUAUAACCUGCAUCAUCAAGACCUGGGAAAAACAAAAAAAGACAAUGCUCUUUUAGCCUUGGAUGUGC